GCUGGCGGCAGGCCUAACACAUGCAAGUCGAGCGCCCCGCAAGGGGAGCGGCAGACGGGAGAGUAACACGUGGGAACGUACCCUUUGGUUCGGAACAACCCAGGGAAACUUGGGCUAAUACCGGAUAAGCCCUUACGGGGAAAGAUUUAUCGCCGAAGGAUCGGCCCGCGUCUGAUUAGCUAGUUGGUGGGGUAAUGGCCCACCAAGGCUACGAUCAGUAGCUGGUCUGAGAGGAUGAUCAGCCUCACUGGGACUGAGACACGGCCCAGACUCCUACGGGAGGCAGCAGUGGGGAAUAUUGGACAAUGGGCGCAAGCCUGAUCCAGCCAUGCCGCGUGGGUGAUGAAGGCCCUAGGGUUGUAAAGCCCUUUCGGCGGGGAAGAUAAUGACGGUACCCGCAGAAGAAGCCCCGGCUAACUUCGUGCCAGCAGCCGCGGUAAUACGAUGGGGGCUAGCGUUGCUCGGAAUCACUGGGCGUAAAGCGCACGUAGGCGGAUUGCUAAGUCAGGGGUGAAAUCCUGGAGCUCAACUCCAGAACUGCCCUUGAUACUGGCGACCUC
rnacentral:rRNA from 1 species